UACGGGGGGAGCAAGCGUUGUUCGGAUUUACUGGGCGUAAAGGGCGCGUAGGCGGCACUGCAAGUCAGUUGUGAAAUCUCCGGGCUUAACCCGGAAAGGUCAACUGAUACUGCAGGGCUAGAGUGCAGAAGGGGCAACUGGAAUUCUCGGUGUAGCGGUGAAAUGCGUAGAUAUCGAGAGGAACACCUGCGGCGAAGGCGGGUUGCUGGGCUGACACUGACGCUGAUGUGCGAAAGCUAGGGGAGCGAACGGG
rnacentral:rRNA from 1 species